rnacentral:rRNA from 1 species
AACGAACGCUGGCGGCAUGCCUAACACAUGCAAGUCGAACGAGACCUUCGGGUCUAGUGGCGCACGGGUGCGUAACGCGUGGGAACCUGCCUUUAGGUUCGGAAUAACUCAGAGAAAUUUGAGCUAAUACCGGAUGAUGUCUUCGGACCAAAGAUUUAUCGCCUUUAGAUGGGCCCGCGUUGGAUUAGCUAGUUGGUGGGGUAAAGGCCUACCAAGGCGACGAUCCAUAGCUGGUCUGAGAGGAUGAUCAGCCACACUGGGACUGAGACACGGCCCAGACUCCUACGGGAGGCAGCAGUGGGGAAUAUUGGACAAUGGGCGAAAGCCUGAUCCAGCAAUGCCGCGUGAGUAAUGAAGGCCUUAGGGUUGUAAAGCUCUUUUACCCGAGAUGAUAAUGACAGUAUCGGGAGAAUAAGCUCCGGCUAACUCCGUG